AUUCCUUGCCAUAUGAGAGAAUUGGGUUAGCAACUAGAAAGAGUGGUGAGAGGAAUAAAGUUUAUCCUCCAAAAUUUGUUGCUGCAAAUUGAUGGAGAUGGAAGAUAGAAAACAAACAGCAAGGUUCUAUUAAUGUUAGCUUUAAUUUGAGCAUGAUGAAUUCCCAACACUUGACGCACUAGGUCUCGGAUGCAGAACUUUGUACAAAAUAGGAACAAAGUUUUCACAAUGCAGAACCUACAAAAUAGAGCUGAUAGAACCACUAAGAUCACUGUUAUCCCAGAAUGAGAGGCUUUCAAGCACAAUACCGAGUUUGUACUUUACUUCUCAACUUUAUUUCUUUGGUAUGGUACAUUGCUAAGAAGUAAGAAAUAAGGAAUGUUGGUACUUUGCAAAUGAAAGUUAUUAUAUUGAACAUGCA